rnacentral:rRNA from 1 species
GAUUUAACGGCCGCGGUACUCUGACCGUGCGAAGGUAGCACAAUCACUUGUUCUUUAAAUGAGGACUAGAAUCAAUGGCGUCACGAGGGUUCCACUGUCUCCUUUUUCUAAUCAGUGAAAUUGAUUUCCCCGUGAAGAAGCGGGGAUGAUAAUAUAAGACGAGAAGACCCCAUGGAGCUUCAAACUCAACGAAUAACUCUACAACUUACUAGAUAUCUUAAGAGACCUAUCCGUUAGUUUUGGGUUGGGGUGACCACGGAGAACAGCCUAACCUCCGUAAUGAAAAGAAUAAAAUCAUAAUCUAAGAGCUACACCUCUAAGAAUUAACAAAUUAACAUACAAUGAUCCAAUUUUAUUGAUCAAUGAACCAAGUUACCCUGGGGAUAACAGCGCUAUCCACUUCUAGAGUCCAUAUCGCCAAGUGGGUUUACGACCUCGAUGUUGGAUCAGGGUGUCCGAGUGGUGCAGCC